AGUUUCUAAAAAGAAAGAAAAUGUAGACCUUCAGCCAUGGAUUAAAAGCAUAUGCAACCAUUUGUGGUAUGCAUGUGCAUCCUGCAACGGUGACCCAGAGGUUUUGACAGCAAAGUGGAAAUCUCUGCUCCAUCACAUUUGCGGUGAACACACGUGGGAAGAAAAUGGACGUCAACAAACGUGUGCCCACGAUGACCUCACCCAUGACCAGCAAAGGAGGAAACGAUGGCUACGAAAAGAGUCCACAGCCUUCCGCACACUAUCAACACUGGUUUUACAUCCCAAUCUGUUGAAGGACAUGAGGCAAAUGGCCCUCUUCAAGCACACUGGCAAUCUUGAGGUUUACCAUUCUGUUCUUCUGAAAUACUGCAGAAAGAACCUGCAUUUUCACUACUCCUCGAUGACAGCUCGUUCUCAACUUGCUGUCAUGGAUCACAAUGAAAAUGUAAACCGUC